GAUGAACGCUGGCGGCGUGCCUAAUACAUGCAAGUCGAGCGAACGGACGAGAAGCUUGCUUCUCUGAUGUUAGCGGCGGACGGGUGAGUAACACGUGGAUAACCUACCUAUAAGACUGGGAUAACUUCGGGAAACCGUAGCUAAUACCGGAUAAUAUUUUGAACCGCAUGGUUCAAAAGUGAAAGACGGUCUUGCUGUCACUUAUAGAUGGAUCCGCGCUGCAUUAGCUAGUUGGUAAGGUAACGGCUUACCAAGGCAACGAUGCGUAGCCGACCUGAGAGGAUGAUCAGCCACACUGGAACUGAGACACGGUCCAGACUCCUACGGGAGGCAGCAGUAGGGAAUAUUCCGCAAUGGGCGAAAGCCUGACGGAGCAACGCCGCGUGAGUGAUGAAGGUCUUCGGAUCGUAAAACUCUGUUAUUAGGGAAGAACAUAUGUGUAAGUAACUGUGCACAUCUUGACGGUACCUAAUCAGAAAGCCACGGCUAACUACGUG
rnacentral:rRNA from 1 species